rfam:Halothiobacillus neapolitanus c2, complete genome.
GGAGUUGGUCAGACUGUCGCGGCGUAGCAAUACGCGGAGGAAAGUCCGGGCUCCAUAGGGCAGAGUGCCAGGUAACGCCUGGGCGGUGUGAGCCGACGGAAAGUGCAACAGAAAACAAACCGCCGAACGGCAUCGCAAGAUGUGCGUGGUAAGGGCGAAACGGUGCGGUAAGAGCGCACCGCAUCCGUGGUAACACGUGAUGGCAAGGCAAACCCCACUCGGAGCAAGGCCAAAUAGGGAAACGAUGGCGCGGCCCGCGCUGUUUCCGGGUAGGCUGCUUGAGGGCAUCGGUGACGAUGACCCCAGAUGAAUGACAGUCCUCGACAGAACCCGGCUUAUCGACCAACUCCCCUA